rnacentral:snRNA from 14 species
GUGUUCGCGUCGGCAGCACAUAUACUAAAAUUGGAGUGAUCCUGAGAGGAUUAGGAUGGCCCCUGCACCAGGAUGAUGCGCAAAU